UACGGAAGGCAGCAGUGGGGAAUAUUGCACAAUGGGCGCAAGCCUGAUGCAGCCAUGCCGCGUGUAUGAAGAAGGCCUUCGGGUUGUAAAGUACUUUCAGCGGGGAGGAAGGCGAUGCGGUUAAUAACCGCGUCGAUUGACGUUACCCGCAGAAGAAGCACCGGCUAACUCCGUGCCAGCAGCCGCGGUAAUACGGAGGGUGCAAGCGUUAAUCGGAAUUACUGGGCGUAAAGCGCACGCAGGCGGUCUGUUAAGUCAGAUGUGAAAUCCCCGGGCUUAACCUGGGAACUGCAUUUUGAACUGGCAGGCUUGAGUCUUGUAGAGGGGGUAGAAUUCCAGGUGUAGCGGUGAAAUGCGUAGAGAUCUGGAGGAAUACCGGUGGCGAAGGCGGCCCCUGGGACAAAGCUGACGCUCAGGGUGCGAAAGCGUGGGGAGCAAACGAGGGAUUAGGAUACC
rnacentral:rRNA from 1 species